AUGGGCAUGCAGGUUGACCCCGCCACCAAGUUCAAGCUGGCGAUGCGACGGCCGGCGAGGGCGACAACAUCCACUUCCUCUCCAUGGAGGAGGCAGAUGAGCAGUUCCUCCUUGCCCAAGCUGAGGAGACGGAGCAUCCCGGCGGAAUCGUUGCUUGAGCUCGAUCUCGAGGCCGAGCACACAGGCAAUGCCGCCUUCGCCAAGCUCACCAUCGGCCCUACCAUCGUGGCCGAUAUCUGCACCAUCCUCGACUCCCUCGAGUCCACGCGGGUGGUGGCGGAGAACCGACGCAAAAUCCACCUCUGCGACGUCAAGCGGGAGCGGCUCCUCCCGGAUGACGAUGAUGACGAGGAGACACCAUCGAUUCGACCUGCCGCCAAUGACUACAAGGCCAUCGGCUUCGGCAAGGGGGUCAUUGAGCUCUUCUUCGACGAGGAUUAG
rnacentral:rRNA from 1 species